rnacentral:rRNA from 1 species
AGUGAACGCUGGCGGUAGGCCUAACACAUGCAAGUCGAACGGCAGCACAGUAAGAGCUUGCUCUUACGGGUGGCGAGUGGCGGACGGGUGAGGAAUACAUCGGAAUCUACUUUUUCGUGGGGGAUAACGUAGGGAAACUUACGCUAAUACCGCAUACGACCUACGGGUGAAAGCAGGGGAUCUUCGGACCUUGCGCGAUUGAAUGAGCCGAUGUCGGAUUAGCUAGUUGGCGGGGUAAAGGCCCACCAAGGCGACGAUCCGUAGCUGGUCUGAGAGGAUGAUCGGCCACACUGGAACUGAGAAACGGUCCAGACUCCUACGGGAGGCAGCAGUGGGGAAUAUUGGACAAUGGGCGCAAGACUGAUCCAGCCAUACCGCGUGGGUGAAGAAGGCCUUCGGGUUGUAAAGCCCUUUUGUUGGGAAAGAAAAGCAGCAGGUUAACACCCCGCUGUUCUGACGGUACCCAAAGAAUAAGCACCGGCUAACUUCGUG